AUUGAACGCUAGCGGAAUGCUUUACACAUGCAAGUCGAACGGCAGCACGGGGGCAACCCUGGUGGCGAGUGGCGAACGGGUGAGUAAUACAUCGGAACGUGCCCAGUCGUGGGGGAUAACGUAGCGUAAGUUACGCUAAUACCGCAUACGAUCUACGGAUGAAAGCGGGGGACCGUAAGGCCUCGCGCGAUUGGAGCGGCCGAUGUCAGAUUAGGUAGUUGGUGAGGUAAAGGCUCACCAAGCCGACGAUCUGUAGCUGGUCUGAGAGGACGACCAGCCACACUGGGACUGAGACACGGCCCAGACUCCUACGGGAGGCAGCAGUGGGGAAUUUUGGACAAUGGGCGCAAGCCUGAUCCAGCCAUUCCGCGUGCAGGACGAAGGCCUUCGGGUUGUAAACUGCUUUUGUACGGAACGAAAAGGCUCUGGUUAAUACCUGGGGCUCAUGACGGUACCGUAAGAAUAAGCACCGGCUAACUACGUGCCAGCAGCCGCAGUAA
rnacentral:rRNA from 1 species